rnacentral:tRNA from 1 species
AUCAGGCUAGUUAAACUAUAAUGUGAGAUKGUCAUUUCUUUUGUUCCUGCCCAGGGCCUGAUU